AGAGUUUGAUUAUGGCUCAGGAUGAACGCUAGCGACAGGCUUAACACAUGCAAGUCGAGGGGCAGCGGGGAAGUAGCAAUACUUCCGCCGGCGACCGGCGCACGGGUGAGUAACACGUAUGGAACCUGCCCGUAGCAGGGGGAUAAGCGGAAGAAAUUCCGUCUAAUACCGCGUAAUAACUCCGAGAGGCAUCUCUUGGGGUUUAAAGGGUAACACCGGCUACGGAUGGCCAUGCGGCGCAUUAGCUAGUUGGCGGGGUAACGGCCCACCAAGGCGACGAUGCGUAGGGGUUCUGAGAGGAAGGUCCCCCACACUGGUACUGAGACACGGACCAGACUCCUACGGGAGGCAGCAGUGAGGAAUAUUGGUCAAUGGGCGCGAGCCUGAACCAGCCAAGUCGCGUGAGGGAAGACGGUCCUAUGGAUUGUAAACCUCUUUUGUCGGGGAGCAAAAGACGCCACGCGUGGCGUUCCGAGAGUACCCGAAGAAAAAGCAUCGGCUAACUCCGUGCCAGCAGCCGCGGUAAUACGGAGGAUGCGAGCGUUAUC
rnacentral:rRNA from 1 species